rnacentral:rRNA from 1 species
UACGUAGGUGGCGAGCGUUGUCCGGAUUUACUGGGCGUAAAGCGCGCGCGGGCGGUCCAUUCAGUCGCUGGUGAAAGCCCCACGCUCAACGUGGGAAGGUCCGGCGAGACGGGUGGACUGGAGGCAGGGAGAGGUCGGUGGAAUUCCGGGUGUAGUGGUGAAAUGCGUAGAGAUCCGGAGGAACACCAGAGGCGAAGGCGGCCGACUGGACCUGACCUGACGCUGAGGCGCGAAGGCGUGGGGAGCGAACGGG